rnacentral:rRNA from 1 species
AGUGAAAUACUUCUGCGAAGCGUUUGCCAAGGAUGUUUUCAUUAAUCAAGAACGAAAGUUAGGGGAUCGAAGACGAUCAGAUACCGUCGUAGUCUUAACCAUAAACGAUGCCGACCAGCGAUUAGGAGACGUUGAAUACAAAACACCGCUGUUAAUCCUUUCGGGGGUUAAUAGUUGGUGAAUGACUCCCUAGCAGCUUGUGAGAC